GUACCAGAGACUCCUGAAUCCAUAUCCUGACACCCUCCCAAGAUGAUGUCAUAGAGCUAUGGAAGACCAGGACAGGGAUGUGCAACCAGAAGAUGUUGGCCCCACAGGGGAGGAACCAUCUAGUACUUACAAGCAUCAUCAUUUGAGCUUGGAAGACACCUCUUUUCAAUUCUGCAUGCUGAUGACAAAAGCAUUCUAAGGUUGAGGCAGUGAAGCCACAUGGAGGCAAGCUGCGACAGUAGUUCAACCCCACCACAACCCUUCUGUAAUCUUUUCUGGAAAGAAGAAAAUGUCAACUCCCCAUCCCACAAAAAAGGGUCCAUUUAUUUUCAGAGAAAUGAGUUUUGAGCUCCAGUUUGAUCCAUUGUGGAAGGUCUCAGCCAGCCUCUCACCAGAAGAAAUUGCUGAUUGGAAAGCAGUGCCACCUGGUGAGAGACAAGGACAGUGCAAGCAAACAGACGUUAUUUCCUACUGACCUAAUUUAGAGAAAAUUAAGCGUUAGAGAGAAAACAUUUAUGAUUGUUAAGUCUGUGCCAAGAUCUUUAAAGAAUGCAGGCAGCUGGCCAUAAAAUCAAUUUGAAUAGUCUCUCUGAGCCAUUGUGAUCCCAGUGGUGUAGAAAGUAUAUAAACAUCCCAAAGGCAUUGAUAGUACUUUACAGUUUGCAUUGCACUUUCUUCUGUGUUCAUUUGGUCACCACACCUGUGAAGGGGAUGGGAGCUUCCUGUCUGUCUGACAGGUUAAGGAUUCAGGGUUCAGGGAGAUCAAGUGGUGCAGACAACACCAGUGAUGAAGGCUGGACCCCCAACUUCAAUUUAAUGCUCACCUGCCCCCACAUCUGCUUCUUUACUGGAACGAGUGCAGUGACUUUUAAAGCUGUAGGACCCACAGAACUAACAGCCUCUGGAUUCCUAAGAGAGGGCUGGGCCACAUCCUAAUCAAGUAGGGUGUCUCUGAAGGGUGUCUUCAAAUGGUUAUGGGGAAAUUUCCAGAAUUAGGAAACCUUAGGUCUUUCAGAACUGGACUUUAAGCAUUUAUCCAUCUCAGGUAAAUUCAAGGAUUAUCAGUGCUGUCUAUAUUGAAGAUUUAAACAUGCACAGAUACCCUCUGUUG